GCCCUGCUGGCUCAGUCGGUAGAGCAUGCGACUCUUAUCUCAGGGUCGUGAGUUCAAUUCCCACGUUGGGCG
rnacentral:tRNA from 1 species